rnacentral:rRNA from 1 species
UGGGGAAUAUUGGACAAUGGAGGAAACUCUGAUCCAGCAAUUCUGUGUGUGUGAAGAAGGUUUUAGGACUGUAAAACACUUUUAGUAGGGAAGAAAAAAAUGAAGGUACCUACAGAAGAAGCAACGGCUAAAUACGUGCCAGCAGCCGCGGUAAUACGUAUGUUGCGAGCGUUAUCCGGAAUUAUUGGGCUUAAAGGGCAUCUAGGCGGUAAGACAAGUUGAAGGUGAAACCCUGUGGCUCAACCAUAGGCUUGCCUACAAAACUGUUGAACUAGAGUACUGGAAAGGUGGGUGGAACUACACGAGUAGAGGUGAAAUUCGUAGAUAUGUGUAGGAAUGCCGAUGAUGAAGAUAACUCACUGGACAGAAACUGACGCUGAAGUGCGAAAGCUAGGGGAGCAAACAGG